UACAGAGGGUGCGAGCGUUAAUCGGAAUUACUGGGCGUAAAGCGCGCGUAGGCGGCUUUGCAAGUCGGGUGUGAAAUCCCCAGGCUUAACCUGGGAACUGCAUUCGAGACUGCAUUGCUAGAGUAUGGGAGAGGGAAGUGGAAUUUCCGGUGUAGCGGUGAAAUGCGUAGAGAUCGGAAAGAACCCUCGUGGCGAAGGCGACUUUCUGGCCUAAGACUGACGCUGAGGCGCGACGGCGUGGGGAGCAAACAGG
rnacentral:rRNA from 1 species